UACGGGGGGGGCAAGCGUUGUUCGGAAUUACUGGGCGUAAAGGGCUCGUAGGUGGCCAAUUAAGUCAGACGUGAAAUCCUUCGGCUUAACCGGGGAACUGCAUCUGAUACUGGAUGGCUUGAGUUUGGGAGAGGGAUGCGGAAUUCCCGGUGUAGCGGUGAAAUGCGCAGAUAUCGGGAGGAACACCGGUGGCGAAGGCGGUUCUCUGGGCCUGUACUGACGCUGAGGAGCGAAAGCGUGGGGAGCGAACAGG
rnacentral:rRNA from 1 species